GAUGAAGAACGUAGCGAAAUGCGAUAAGUAAUGUGAAUUGCAGAAUUCAGUGAAUCAUCGAAUCUUUGAACGCACAUUGCGCCCGCCAGUAUUCUGGCGGGCAUGCCUGUUCGAGCGUCAUUACAACCCUCAGGCCCCCGGGCCUGGCGUUGGGGAUCGGCGGAGCCCCCCGUGGGCACACGCCGUCCCCCAAAUGCAGUGGCGGUCCCGCCGCAGCUUCCAUCGCGUAGUAGCUAACACCUCGCGACUGGAGAGCGGCGCGGCCACGCCGUAAAACACCCAACUCUUCUGAAGUUGACCUCGAAUCAGGUAGGAAUACCCGCUGAACUUAAGCAUAUCAAUAAGGCGGAGGA
rnacentral:misc_RNA from 1 species